rnacentral:siRNA from 1 species
UAGUGCUACCAAAUAUAAAGUAAC